CAGCGGACCGUGGAGGCCGGGUGCAGCCCCGUCGGCUCCGCGCUCCCAGCAGAAAGGGCUUUUCUACGCCCCCCGCCCAUCACUUGGAUCUGGUCUGGUAUUCCUCGGGGGUCCUUGGGCCAGCCACGGCAGCUGAGUUUCUCCAGCAACUAAAAGAAGAGAGAAAGAUGUUCUCCCCCUGCCCCCACCCCAAACCCUCCUUUCUGGUCCCUGGGAGUGCGCCCCUCGUGGCACUGAGAACUGGUUGGUGAUCACAGCGGAAAAUAAAAAAGAUGCCACCCGCAGAUGGUUACUAAACACACUUUUUGCCCUCCAGGGUCCGAAAGUUGGAGAUGAGGCUUGGGAAACAGGACAACUGCGGCUGCUGUCUGCGUGUGCUGUGGGGGCUCGUGGCGGGGAAGGUGGGGAAGAAACAAGUGUUACCUGUUUGACAAGGCUGGUUCACAUUUAGCCUGGGCCUUCCAGCAGGGCCUCUGGGCUCCUCACCUUGGCAGAAGCCCUGGACAGUCAUGACUGGCUCACCGGCUUCCCCAAAUCAGCCCACUUUCCCACCCUCUGCCUCAGUUUCCUUCCCCCAUGCUCCAGCCUGAAAGGGUUCUCACUUGUACCUGCCAUGUUAUUGUGAGUUCAAGUGAUAGACAGGCUCAGAAGGCGCUGGGAAAGUGAGGAUAAGCAUUACACAUGAAAGCUGUCUGUGCUGAUACUAAUACCUGCCGCGCAGGCAGAGACAACUCAAGACAGGAGCAGGACUGCGGUCCAACAUAUGCACAGGUUUCUGCAAUCCUGGAAUCAGGCAGCCCCAGCUCUGCAGCUCUUGCAGUGUGUCACCCCCCUAGGCAAGUGACUCAGCCUCUAUGGACCUCCAUUGCCUCUCAUAGGAAACCCACAUUUUGGGAUAGAAGUUUCUCAAGUCUGAUAGGCACAGGAUUUUAAGUAGUUCCUGGCUAGAGAUGUAAAUUCUUCGAACAGGUAUUUCUUUCGUACAGCCGAUUUUUACUAUGGCGAGCAGUUGGCUUUCAGUUUAGGGUUCCGAGGAGGAGGGCUCUUUUCUUUUUACAUCAAUUUCUUGCCUGGAGAAUCCCCAUGGACAGAGGAGCCUGGCGGGCUACAUCCAUGGGAUCGCAAAGAGUCAGACAUGACUGAGCGACCAAGCACAGCACAGCGUGUAAGAUAAAGAGGGUGAGCUGCUUGCAAGGAAACAUUCAAGCAAAGGAAAGUACAGGUGGCAGGAUGGGGCAGGACUCAAGAUGAUCCUUUGUAAAGUUUCAUCUGCCUUUUCUUUUGAUCCUGGCUUGUGGGAUCUUAGCUUCCGGAUUAGGGACUGAACCUGGGCUCUCAGCAGUGAGCGCUCGGAGUCCUAACCACUGGGCCACCUGGGAUGUCCCCAUAGUCCACUUCUUUAGAAUUCUCAUUUGUCUUAGGGAUUUUCCGCACCCGUGGAGUUGGUGUGCCACUUCCAACCUGUGGUGGGCUCCACCUGUGACAACCUGGGUGCCACGAGUCUCCCCCCGCCAACUCCUGCCCUGCAUGCCAACACCAGUGAGAUGCCUCGGAUCUCUGCCCCCACACCCACCCAUAGCUCUGAUUGGUCUCUUAUUUUAGGAUCUUGCUACCCCAGUGCCCUCUUUCCUGGCCAGGGCACCUCUCUGAGCCUCAGUUUUCUCUGUGCAAUGGGGAGAAUAGUUACCCACCCCCCCAGAGCAGUGUGAAGAUCCAGAACUCAGUUGGGCAGCUCUGGUGGCUCACAAACAGGGCACAGCUCAGAAGGCGGUGGGCACCGGUGGCCCUGGGAUGGGCAGGGGCACAGUGGCACGCGUGGCCUGGAGGGGCACUCCUUGGACAGGCUGCUGCCCGGCCCGGCCAUCCUCUCCCCGCCCACCCCCUGGGAUGGGGAAACAGCGGGCACUGGGUCUCAGCCAGCAGGGGCGGGUCUGGUUUCACUUUCUGCUGUGUCAUGGGGUGGGGGGUGGCAUCAGGGCCCAGCUGGCCAGCUGGGGCGGGCAUCAAGAGGCUGGCGGACAGCUGGGGCCCAGCUGCCAGAGCACAACCUGUGCUCUUGCCCUUCUGCCUGCUGGGCUGGGGGCUGGGCCCCAGGGAUUCCCUGUGAAUGCCCCUUACCCGCCGCUGCCCCCUGCCUUGCACAGUGGGAGAACCCCAAGUGAGAAAAGCCAGCAGGGUUUGAGAUGGUUCUUCUAGCCAUGAGAUCUCCCCCAACCCAGACACGUUCUUCAGCCCUCAGUCUUGAGUUUCCUGGACUGCAGCUACUGAUUCUGCGUCAGAGUGCUCCAGUUGGAUGCCUGCUUCCUGCUGCCUCCACUGGUGCAUGCCUCCUGAGGGCCUACUGUGUGCUCAGCACGGUCCCUGGUGCCAGGGAUGCCGUGGGAAGCAAGAUAGCACCUGCCCUCCUAGGGCUCCCGGUUGAGUGGUGUGGCAAAAUCAAGAGCAAGUAAAGAGAGAAAGAAUCACGCGAUGGGGACAGUUCCACACGGUCCGCUUCAUGUUAGCACCUCAGGGGAGGGGCAUGUGUACGUGUGCGUGUGUGUGCAUGCGUACGUGUCAGGGGUGUGAUGACUCCUGGAACACAUAGGUCAGUUGGGAAUACAGACCUGGGGGGCCAGGUGUCCCCGGCUUGACUCUGGAUUUUUCCACUGAUGGGUAUGAAACCUGAAGCAAAUUUCUUCUCUUUGGGCCUCAAUUUCUCCGUCUCUAUAAUGGUACCUACAGAGCAGGGCUGCAUGGGGGAUGAAAUGAAUAUCCAUACAGAACUAAAGACAGUGCCUGGUAUCGACUGCCUGCUGUCUAAGUCUCAGCCACUGUCUACUAACUAAGCAUCAUAAACACGCCCUGUUCUCAGAGAUGACACAAGGCUGUCACCGCAGGCUAAGAGCAGCAAUAAUGCUGUUGAGCCCACCCUCCCCCACUCAGAGCUUUACCCGCCCCCUUUCUCUAGCCUCACCAGCCUCAGGUAGGCCUUAGCAUCUCUUUGUUCAGAUGAGGACACGGAAGCUCAGGCAGGUGAAGAGAUGUGUCCAAGUGGACCCAGCUUAAGUCAGUCUGACCCUGGGUGUGGGGUCGGCUUCACAGUGUGGACCCUGCUGGUUCAAUGCUCCACUCUUGUCAUUGAAAUUCUGAAUAAUUUGGGGAACAAGGGGUUCAUGUUUUCAUUUUGCAAAUUACAAAGCCAGUCUUGUCCAGGUCUGACUUCCUCCAAAGGUGGCCCUCUUAACUCCUACAAUCAAUCUCUCAUAGAUGGAUGGUCCAGAACAGUUUUCCAGUUCAUCAUUACAGUAUUUAGUAUGGGACUGAAAUCCUGGGGAGCAAACAGGACUUACUACGGGGCCAAACUGCCCUAGUUUUUGUUUGAUUGUCUUGUCCCCAUUAGAAGGAAGGCAGGGCAGCUGCCCAGGGCAGGGGGUGAAUCAUUCAUUGCUGUAUCCGCAGGACCUGGCGUGUACUAGCUGCUCAGUUAAUAAUUGUGAAAUGAAGCAAACUAAUGGCAGGCUGCUGGAUCUCCUUAACUAAAACAGAUUUAAAUGACACUACCAAGAAAGCAGGUCAAAGUGGUGGCCGUCCUCUCCUGGCUCUGGACAAGCCCCUGAAGGGUGUGGAGGCAAAGGUCUCUUCCCUCCCCAGGUGGCAAACCUGAAUGCCAAUAGCGUGCAGCAGAUUACUGUUUAAACAAGUCUGGGACUUCCCUGGUAGUCCAGUAGUUAAGAUUCCGUGCUUCCACUGCAGGUGGGUUCCAUCCCUGAUUGAGGAAUUAAGAUCCUACAUGCCACGUGGUAUGGCCAAAAAAAAACCCAAAACAGGCGCUGGUGGGGACUUCAGAGGCAACACAACUGUUUAAAGAAAACACAGGCCUGGAUUCCUGUGCACCAGUUAUUGGAGAAGAUGCCAUCUCAGCCAAAAGAAUAUUGUAAUUCUGGGCAGGUUCUAGUCCCAGCCAAGGAUCAGGGGGUUGAGAGUUUGGAUUUGGGGGGGUUCAAGUUCCUCUUUUCCUCAGAAAUUAGUUUACAGUUCCAAAUUUGCUCCCUUAAAAAACAAAAACACAACAACUUAGUUUUACUAACAAGCAGAGAAUCAUCUGAAAAUCCUUUAAGAGAUUUACAACAAUAAUUAAUGUGUUUUGGACAAGCUGUUUUCACAGGCUCGAUCUCUAUCACUUCAGAUAAUUGCCAUAUGAAGUAGGAGUUACUGGUCUCAUUUCUAAAUAAUAUCGUAACUGCCAGCAUACACUGAGUGUUUUAUAUGAGCUAAACACUUUACAUGUAUGAAGUCCUGUUGCACGAGCAACAUAUCGGGAGGCACUGUUACUGUCUUUGGCUUCCUGAUGAAGCAACAAGCUUAGAGAGAGGAACUGACUUGUCCAAGGUCGCACACCCAGUGUGUGGAUGAGCCAGAAUUUAAGAUGGAAACUUCCAGAUCAGGCGUCAGCAAACUUUUUCUGGAAAGGGCCAGAUACUAAAUAUUUUAGACUUUACAGGUCAUACAGUCCCUUGUCACAGCUAUUCCACUCUGCUGUUGUAACAAGAAAACAGCCAGAAACAUUAAGUAAAUGAGUGGUCCUGGCUGCAUGUUCCAAUAAAACUUUAUUUACAAAAUCAGGAAGUAGGGUAAUUUUGGCCCCACAGACUAUAUAGUUCCCCUCCCCUCCGCGUUCCAGACCCUAACACCUGCCUUCCAGUUAGGAAGCAGCUGGCCUGGCCUCGUUCUUCCUCACCGUCUCUCCCUACCUGUGAGGGGACUCAGUCACAUCUCAGAACAGAGCCUGCUGGGCCUUGGGAAGAGGGUCAGUUGGCCCCUCUUUCCUUGGGAUUAUGAAGCUCUUGGAAUUUAGAACUAUUAGGACUUGUUAGUGACUGCCAUGAUCGAUCACCACGGGGACUUUAAAACUGUAAUUUUUAUAGCUGUUAAGUGAGUAACUUAAAGAGGAAAGUGUUGAAAGAGUUUUAGGAGAAUACCUCAGUGGGGCACUUUGGCUGUGGAAGGAACUUCUCUUUUGGAGAAGGCAUUUCUCUGGAGUUGGUGAGAAUGCAACGGGAGGGAAAAUGUCUUAAGGCGGAAGAAGGUAACGAGAAGGGGAGAUGGGAAGAGUGUGUGUGCAGAGAGAGGGUGGAGGAGGGAGAUUUCCCAAAGCAGGAGGCUGGAGCCCACGGAUUCCUGACAGGAGAAGGGGUCGGGCAGGGAGACAUGACUUUUUUCCCCAACAGCUUUAUUGAGAUAAACUUCAUUUACCACACAAUUCAACCAUUUCAAACAGUACUCCCCCCAAAUGGCUGUGAGUAUGUUCACAGAGUUGUGCGUCAGUCAUCACAGUCAAUCUUAAGACAUUUUCAUCACUUCAAGAAGAAAACCCUGUCCCCUUUACCAGCCCCCUACUCCGGCUAAAUCUUCUAACCCCUCCCCCAUCCUCCACUCCUAAACAGUCGCUAAUCUCCUCUUCGUCUUCGCCUGUUCUGGAUCUUUCAUACAAAUGAAAUACAUAUUUCAUAGGGAACGUGACCCUCUGUGACCGGCUUCUUUCACUCAGCAUUAUGUUCUCAAGGUUUGUCCAUGCUGCAGCCCAUAUCAGAGCGUCAUUCUUUUUCAUGGCGGAGUCACACCCACAUGGCACAUAGAUUAACAGGACUUUGUUGUGAAGGGGAAGGCAACAUGACUGAGAAGGCGGUGGGGCGCGGCGGGCGCGCAUCCCUGAGGAGAGAACAGACACGGACCCGGCAGCUCCUCCUCUUCUCUGUGGGAUGGUCAAUGAAUGCGUGAAUGUCCAUUCAUUCCGUUUCUUAAGCUGUUCUUUAGUCACUGGGGUCACAAAGAGUCGGACACGACCAGUGACUAACACUUUAGUCACUCAGUCCUGUCUGACUCUUGUGAUCCCCAUGGACUGUAGCCUGCCAGGCUCCUCUGUCCAUGGGAUUUCCCAGGCAAGAACACUGCAGUGGGUUGCCAUUUCCUUCUCCACGGGAUCUUCCCAAUCCAGGGAUUGAACCUGCAUCUCCUCUAUUAGCAGGCAGAUUCUUUAUCACUGAGCCACCAGUGAAGCCCAAUUAUUUGAGUACUUACUAUAUUACUAUAAAUUAUAAAUUUGGGGGGCUCCAAGAUCACUGCAGAUGGUGAUUGCAGCCAUGAAAUUAAAAGAUGCUUGCUUCUUGGAAGAGAAGUGAUGAUCAACCUAGACAGCAUAUACAAAAGCAGAGACAUCACUUUGCCAACCAAGGUCCGUCUAGUCAAAGCUAUGGUUUUUCCAGUGGUCAUGUAUGGAUGUGAGAGUUGGAGCAUAAAGAAAACUGAGCAUCGAAGAAUUGAUGCUUUUGAACUGUGGUGUUGGAGAAGACUCUUGAGAGUCCCUUGGACUGCAAGGAGAUCCAACCAGUCCAUCCCAAAGGAGAUCAGUCCUGGGUGUUUAUUGGAAGGACUGAUGCUGAAGCUGAAACGCUGAUACUUUGGCCACCUGCUGCAAAGAACUGACUCAUUUGAAAAGACCCUGGUGCUGGGAAAGAUUGAAGGCAGGAGGAGAAGGGGACAACAGAGGAUGAGAUGGUUGGAUGGCAUCACCGACUCGAUGGACAUGAGAUUGAGCAAGCUCUGGGAGUUGGUGACGGACAGGGAAAGCCUGGCGUGCUGCAGUCCAUGGGGUUGCAGAGUCAGACACGACUGAGCGACUGAACUGAACUAUAAAUUAAGAGGCUAAGUAUGGGGCAUGAGCUGUAACCAACAAGACAGACACAGUUCCUACUUAGGCACAGGAGAGGAAAUCAUAAACCAAAGAGGAAGAAAACAUUUUACGUUUGAUUAAAAUAAUACAGCAACAAUGGAAGGAAACAAUUACACCACCAGGUCUAAGUAAAUCCUUGCAAACAUGGGGUUUACAAACAGCACAUCUUAACACAAGGCCCAACUCAGAAUUGUGGCAAUCUUCCCCUCAGAGUGACUUGGAAGCAGCACAGCCAGGAGAAGGCUCUGGAAGAGGUAGGUGGCUCUGGGUUUUUUGGUUUUUUUUUCCUGCCAGCAUUUUCUACCCCUCCAAGUAAGAAACAGUAUGCCCAGUGGGAAUAUGGCCAAAGAUGGCUGCUUACAACACUCAUGCCUCAGCUACAGUAAUGGGUCUGGGUGUAGACACGUGACUUGAUAUGAAAAAUCAUAGCAGCCCACUUCUGAGCUGGGCUGCAGUGCUUGGUCCACGUCUGGUCACGUGACCUAAGCUGGGCCAAGGCAGCAUUGUUUUAAGUAGAGCUGGGGAGAGGAUUGGUUUUCCCACCCACUCAGCAGCAUCCAGAGCUACUAGUGAAUGCAAAGACUGAGGCCAACAUGGAGGGAGGGAGGAACACGGGAUGGGAUGGGGGUUUGGGGAGGAGACAGACUGGCGCUGCGUUCUGUCCCUUGAUCCAAGAGUGACUCAGCCUCUCUCGUCCUUCAGCAUGGUUACCUGAGUAAUGAAUCCCCCAUCAUACCUCAAUCAGGUCAGCUCUGGUUUCUGUAUGCACCAGAGCAUCCCAAUUCAGGACUUGGGAACUGUUUGUUCCUUCUCAUGGACUGUGUGAAGCUAAGCAGGGUCGGUUAUCCUCAGAGCUCAAUUCUCCCCCUAGGUUUGCCUUGCUGUGUUUGGGAAUGAGAGAUUCCCCCAGGCCCCUCUCCAUCUCUGCCCACCACCACCAGCCUGCUUCCAAUUAAUUUACCACUGAAUCAGAGCUCAACAUUUAUUCUUGGGCUUCAAGUCCCAACCUCUUUCUGCUUGCCUGCGUCUCUCUGACCUCAUUCCCAACACACGUCCACUUCUCCUCACCAGGCUCUCCACCAUGGACAGAGCCUGCAGCUUGUCCUGGCCUCUGCUCCAACGCCCACCACGUUAAUGGAAUGAUAUUUUCUCCCUGUGAGUGGUGACCUUGAACCUGGAGACCCAGGUCUCAUCUUUGCACUCCAGCCGCUGGUGUGCAGCAGGUGGGCAGCAAGUGCAGGAGGCAGGGAAGGGAGAAGGGGAGAGAAGGUCGCUCCUUCCUGCUGAUUCAGGUCAACCAGCGUGUCAAGUUCUACCCUUGUUUCCUCUGCCAGGUACUCUUGUACCACGUGGACACACAGCUCAUACCCUCAUCUCCUUUAGGCCUCUCCUCCAACGUCAGUUCUCCAAUGUCCUGGACUGCAGUUCCCAGUGAACUGCAUUCUCCCAGACCCCAUCUUGAUCCCUACUUUCCGUGCUUUCUUGUUCCCUUCCGCCACCACUGGUCUUUCUCCAUGCUCAAUUUAUCUACUUUCUCUCUCUGAAAUGUCAGCUCCAUGUGGGCAGCUGUCUUUGAUUUGUUCUCUGCUGUGUCCACAGCACCUAGUAGGUGCUCAGUAAUCAUCUGUGGCGCGAAUUCACCAAAACCACCUUACCAAAUUUGUUUCUCCCUAUGCACUUCAUGUGGUCCAGGUGUGGUCAUGUGACCUAAGCAGGACCAAUCCAGGAUUGAUUUCAGUGGAGCUGCUGAGAAGAUUGCUUUUCCCACCCACUCUCCCAGCAUCCAGAGCUCCCGUGACUGGUGAACUGCAUUCCAUAUGUUGAUAUGGAGAAGGAAAUGGCAGCCCACUCCACUAUUCCUGCCUGGAGAACCCCCAGGGACAGAGGAGCCUGGCGGGCUACAGUCCAUGGGGUCGCAAAGAGACAGGACUUAUUGACUAAGCAACAAAAAUGCACUUCAUGCAUUUUACAGGUGCUGUGAGCGUCAGGUGAUGUGUUAGGUUCCUAGGGCAAGUUAUUACAAACUGGUUGGCUUAAUGCAACAGAAAUCUAUCAUUUCCUUAUUAUUAUCAUAAUCUACUAAACCUAUGACUUCUGCAGGCUGUUAGUCCAAACUUGGCAGGGACACAGCCCUCCCAGGUGCUCCAGAGGAAAAUCCAUUCCUUGCCUCCUCCAGCUUCUGGUGGCUCCAUAUUCCUUGGCAUGUGGCCGCAUCACUCUAAUCUCUGCCUCUGUCUUCCUGUGUUCUUCCCUGUGUGUCUGUCUCUGCUUCUCUCAUAAAAGGAUUCUUGUAAUUGCAUUUAGUGCCCAUCUGAAUAAUCCAGGGUAAAUUCCACCUCAAGACCCUUAACUUAACCGCAGCUUUUCCAUAUAAGGAAACCUGUGAAGGCUCUGGGAGAGAAGUGGGCAUACCUUUUCUUGCUCUAGGAGUCACCAUUCAGCCCUCUAUAUUAUUUGCUUAAAGACCAGAAAAGCAAAGGUUUCCCACCACCACUUCAUUGGCCUGACAGAUAUGUGAUGAAAAGAGUAUGAUCAUCAUAUUACCUUGCUCCCGUCAAGUGUGGAAAUGAUUUUUUAAAUGCCAUUUUCUGUGUUUUUAAUUAUCCCAGUUUUCAAAAAUAAUACCCUGCAUAUGGUAAAAAAACCAGUACGGAAACAUGGGAGAUACAGGAGCCCCUUUGCAAUUUUCCUCUUAACUCCAGUUUCACUUUUUAAAUGUAAUCACCAUAUGCAGCCUGCAUAAUCUUCAUAAAUUUUCUAAGCAUAUUCGAGAGCACACACUUUUUUGGCUUCUAACAUUAAGAACAGUGGCGGGGGGCUGGGAUGGUUUAUGUCCGAAGGCACGACAGCCCUCUGACCUGCCAGAAGCUUUCUAAUGACUUCUAGCAAUGCACCACACUUAAGCUGUCCCCUACUGUCAGCACUUCGGUUAACUCCAGGAUUUUAAUGUUACAGAUACUCUCUGGUAUCUGUCCAGCUAUACUCCAUCGGAUACACUCCUAGACAUGGGAUUUCCAGGCCAAUGUGUACAUUUUAAAUUUCUACAGCUAUUGCCCAGUGCCAUUCACCAAGGUGGUGAAAUUCACACGCCCAUCGAGAAUGUACAGGUGAGGGUGUCUCUUGCCAACACCCUCACCCAUCCUGUCAAGACAGCAGCAUGUCAGAUCUCAAACUCAGGUAAGUGGACUUUCCAUGUGGGCCUGAUGGGGUGGACACCACCUGAGAGGUUGUCCCUGUAGCUGUCUGAGGCACUGAGCUGCUCAGAGCUCUCGUUUAGGUUUUAUAAACAAAGACAGAGUCUGGGUAGGUGAGCCAGAAUCAUGCAGUGAGACGCAUUGUGCAACUCAGUAUUUAUUUCUUUAGCACAGCUAGGACUUAAAUAUGGUCAAAACAUAUUCUCCUUUUAAUUUACACAAACAAAUAUGUUCCCGGGCUGACACCUCCUGUGCCAAGUUUCUAGGGGAAACGAAAUUCUACUGUGAGAUGAGAAACCACCAGAGAGAAAAGGGUGGAAAAGCCAUCACUGUCUGCUUUGCACGUCCGAGCUGGGCUUCUCGGAGGGGUGUUUCAGAACUGGGCUGCUGCCUCUUGGUCUCUUUCUGUCUUUGUUGCAGAUAAACCUGCCAGUAAUUUCAGCAAAUGAAACGUGGAACAUGUAAAGGCCAAAUGAUGGAAAACACUCCGGUUUUAAUAAAAGGUCUGCUCGGCUGAGACUCCUCUGUCCUGCUAGUCAGGAGAUGCAAAGAUUUAUCCAGAGAGGGGCUGAUGAAUUGAAGAAACAGAAAUGAGGCCAAUUUCCCAGACCAGGGAUUGAACCCAGGCCACGGCAGCAAAAGCCUGGAAUCCCAACCACUAAGCCACUCAAGAACUCCCUGGGACCAGCUUCUUAGUUUGAAAACUGUCAAUAAAGAGGAAAGAGUCAAGCAUUAAGUACUAUUCUUCCAACUAUUUUGUGGAGGAAGUCAGAUACUCGCCCAGGGCUCCACUGUGAGUACAUGGCCCUGCCUUCUUCGCUCAGCCCUCUGCCUUGAUUCAGCUCUGAAAUGCAGCAUCAGGGCCAGGAAACCAGAACUUCCAGGAGAUGAAAAGCUCACCAGCCCCUGAUUCAACGGUGACACAUGAAUGAUGCUCAGUAAACAGUCAUCAAAUGGACCAACCAACCAGGCUAUCACCACUUCUGGCUGGGCCUCCAUCUGAAAUUGCAGAAACCCUCUAUAGCCACCGUGACCUCCAGUUCCCAUUUCAGACAGGCUGACAUCCACAAUGUCACAUGAUAGAAGGUGACUCCAGAGAGGCUGACUACAAGGCUUCUGGAGGGAGCUAUGGCAGACAAGAGUGGGUGUGGUUUUUCUUUAAUUAUUGUACCUGUUUUGUCUGUUCUUUCUUGGCUCUGUUCACAUCCCCACCCCAGCACCAGUGCAGGAAAAAAAGAAAAAAAAAACAGAACAAAACAUCGCAGAGUUUGAGACAAGAUAGCUGGCCCAUUCCCUCUCUGCUUGUAAUUAAUGCUGAAAAUGACUUGCCUUGGCCACAAAGGUAAUAAUAAAGUCAGGAAGUCUGAUUAUUUGGCUACUAAUUUCCUUCUAGGUUCCCCCACCCCUUCUCCUUUCCUUAAAUUAAUUCCAGAGUUCCUCCAGAUUUCUCGUUGCUAAGCUAUAAAGUUCCAGGUUUCCCAGCGCCCAUGCUGAUUGGCAGGGAGGUUCCAGGCAGCUCCAAUCAGAGGCAGGUUGCUGAAAGGAGCAUCCACAUUGCAGCUUGCCCCGGGGUACUGGAAUUUUUUCCCUGAUGUUAUGAACCAUCGAAGUCUUUCUCUAACUGUGCAAAACCUGUUCUCUUGAUCUUGUCUGCAUCUCUCUUGGUGUGCAGGCUACUGGGGGCACACCAGAGUCCUGGAAUAUCCCCCUGGUCCUGGAGGAAUAGAGAGUCCCUGGGUUGCCAGGUUUGGGGUCAGUGAAGGAAAUGCCCAGGGCCUGUUCAUGGCUGACCAGAGAUGACAGCGUGGUGUCCUGCCACGGGCUGGGGGCUGCCUCAGACCCUGCCUGUCUGACCUCUCUCGUGCCAUCUCUUAAGCUUGGUGAAAGGCUCAAGGGGAUUGAGGGAGAGUAGAUGCCGCUGCAUGUAGGGUUGUUCAGGGGUAGAGGCUGCAUUUGUAAAGAUGUUAAAACAUGUAGAUGGGGACUUCCCUGGUGGUCUGGUGGUUAAGAAUCUGCCUUGCAAUGCAGGGGGUGCAGGUUCAAUCUCUGGUCAGGGAACUAAGGUCUCACGUGCCGCGGGGCAACUAAGUCCGCGUGCCACAACUCCAGAGCCCGGGCACCACAGUGAAAGACCAGACGCAGCCAAAUAAAUAAAUAAAAACCUGUAGAUGGUAAGGGCACCUGGGAGGACCAUUCUGGUGUUUCACUUCCAGAACACUGAUAAUAAUCAGCCACCGUGAACUGAGUUCCUACUGUGUGCCAGAAACUUAUAUUUUUUAGAACCACUGUCUUGAGGAAUUGUUGACAUAUAAAAAGCUGUCUACAUUUAAUGUAUACAACCUGAGUUUGGAGAUAAGUAUACACCCGUGGGACAUAGAGAACAGAGUGGUGGUUGCCAAGGGGGAGGUGUGGGGGAGAGAUGGAGUGGGAGUUGGGGUUAGCAGAGGUAAGCUUUUAUAUAUAGAAUGGAUCAACAGCAACGUCCUACUGUAUAGCACGGGAACUCUAUUCAACAUCCUACGGUCAGCUAUAACAAAAGAAUAUGAAGAAAGAAUAUGUACGUAUAACGGAACCACUUUGCUGUACAGCAGUAAUUAACACCACAUUGUAAAUCACCUGUGUGUGCUAAGUCACUUCAGUCGUGUCCAACUCUUUGUGACCCCAUGGACUGUAGCCCACCCGGCUCCUCUGUCCAUGGGAUUCUCCAGGCAAGAAUACUGGAGUGGAUUGCCAUGCCCUCUUCCAGGGGAUCUUCCUACCCCGGGGAUCGAACCCACAUUUCCUGCAGCUCCUAAAUUGCAAGUGGCUUCUUUACCACUGAGCCACCGGGGAAGCCCCCCUCCCCAAAUAAAUAUAUACUCAUGAAAGUAUCACCACAGUCAGUCUAUGCCAUAAAGAUAUCCAUCACCUCCAAAAAUUUCCUCCCGCCUUCUUCAUGUUCUUUUACCCUCUUAGCAUAUUUUAAGUGUACCAUACAGUGUUGUUAAUUGUCAGUACCAUGUUGUACAUUAGAUCUCCAGAACUCAGCCAUCUUGCAGACCUGAAGCUUUGGACCCCUUGACCAAUAUCUUCCUAUCCCCUCACCUCCCACCCCCUGGCAAUCCCCAUUCUAGUCUCCAGUUCUCUGUGUUUGACUAUUUUAGACUCCAUAUAAGUGGUAUGACAUAGUAUUUGUCCUGUGUCUGGCUUAUUUCACUUUGUGCCAUGCCUUCCAGGUUCAUCUGUGUGUUCACAUAGGACAGAAUUACCUUCUUUUCAAGGCUGAAUAGUAUUCCAUCGCAUAUACCACAUUUUCUUUAUCCAUUCAUCUGUCCAUGGACAUUUAAGUUGCCUCCAUGUCUUGCCUAUUGUGCUAGGAACGUACAUAUAUAUCUCCUUCCAUCCCCAAACUCCCAGUGGACACAGAACAUGAUGGAUGUCUACUGGUUUUCCCUGCACUGUUUCAUCUUUCACUAACAGGGGAAGCGUGACAGAGGGGAAAUCAUGUGACCCAAGCCUGGCCACAGUGAUUGGCUCUGGGAUGGGCACACGGCCAAGCUGAGCCAAUCAGAAUCAUUCUUGUGUUGGUUUUUUUUUUUUUGCCAAAACUACAGGAAGAGCCUCCCUCUUGCCACUGGAUUUGCUGGCCUAGUGACCACUGUGAACGCAGGAGGAAAGUGCCUGAGGGAGAUAAGGAGCCCCUGAGAUAAUGCUGAGUUCUGCAUGCAGCUGUGGGAGAUCUCAGAUCUAUUCCGUGGGUUCUAGUUAAAGGAACAGAAGCUCCAAUACUUCGGCCACCUGCUGUGAAGAACUGACUCAUUGGAAAAGACUCUGAUGCUGGGAAAGACUGAAAGCAGGAGAAGAAGGGGACGACAGAGGAUGAGAUGGUUGGAUGGCAUCACUGACACGAUGGACAUGAGUUUGAGCAAGCUCCGGGAGUAGGUGAUGGACAGGGAAGCCUGGCAUGCUGUAGUCCAGGGGGUCGCAAAGAGUCGGACACGACUGAGCGACUGAACUGAAAUUAUUAUUUAGUGUGUUCAAGCCAGUUCGACUUGUGUGUCUGUUGCUUUUAACUGACAGAGUGUGAAUAACACUGACACGUUUUCUCCUUGUGGUGCUUGACUCUGGGGUGGGCAAUUUUCAUAUCUUCCCACAUAGGGUCCUCAUAAUCACCUGGGGAGGUAUUCCAUUUUGCAGACAGGAAAGCCAAGGCCCAGAGAGGUGAGGGAGUCUGGAGCAGAUGAUGCUGCCAGUAUGUGCUCAGGGACUCAAACCUGGUCCAAUAGACGUCUUGGUGGCCCAUCAAAUUCAACUUGUCCAAAGCUGAAUUUGAGAACCUCCCUCCCAGCCUGAUUUUCCCCCAGGGCCCCCAUCUCAGGGAUAGCGCCUCUUUCAGUCUGCUGGGGUUAACUGGAAGCCAGGUGUUCUUGACCCCUCCCAGCCUCACCAAGUCUUGUCCACCGCUGCUCCACAAGCCUGGAAGCAAGCAAUUUACUCCUUCCUCUGUCCAACUCUCCACCCCUGCCCAAGCUGUCCUCACUUCUCAAAAUCUUGGCCUUUUAGAAUUGCCUCCCACCUGGUUCUCCUAUGAAAAGUGAAAGUGUUAGUCACGC
ensembl:lncRNA